rnacentral:misc_RNA from 1 species
GAUGAAGAACGUAGCGAAAUGCGAUAAGUAAUGUGAAUUGCAGAAUUCAGUGAAUCAUCGAAUCUUUGAACGCACAUUGCGCCCCUUGGUAUUCCGAGGGGCAUGCCUGUUCGAGCGUCAUUAUAACCCCUCAAGCUCAGCUUGGUGUUGGGGCCUGCUGCACUGGCAGCCCUUAAAAUCAGUGGCGGCGCCAUCUGGCUCUAAGCGUAGUAAUUCUUCUCGCUAUGGAGUCCUGGUGGAUGCUUGCCAUCAACCCCCAAUGUUUCUAUGGUUGACCUCGGAUCAGGUAGGGUUACCCGCUGAACUUAAGCAUAUCAAUAAGCGGAGGA